rnacentral:rRNA from 1 species
UACAGGCUUAACACAUGCAAGUCGAGGGGCAGCAUGGUCUUAGCUUGCUAAGGCCGAUGGCGACCGGCGCACGGGUGAGUAACACGUAUCCAACCUGCCGUCUACUCUUGGACAGCCUUCUGAAAGGAAGAUUAAUACAAGAUGGCAUCAUGAGUCCGCAUGUUCACAUGAUUAAAGGUAUUCCGGUAGACGAUGGGGAUGCGUUCCAUUAGAUAGUAGGCGGGGUGACGGCCCACCUAGUCUUCGAUGGAUAGGGGUUCUGAGAGGAAGGUCCCCCACAUUGGAACUGAGACACGGUCCAAACUCCUACGGGAGGCAGCAGUGAGGAAUAUUGGUCAAUGGGCGAGAGCCUGAACCAGCCAAGUAGCGUGAAGGAUGACUGCCCUAUGGGUUGUAAACUUCUUUUAUAAAGGAAUAAAGUCGGGUAUGCAUACCCGUUUGCAUGUACUUUAUGAAUAAGGAUCGGCUAACUCCGUGCCAGCAGCCGCGGUAAUACGGAGGAUCCGAGCGUUAUCCGGAUUUAUUGGGUUUAAAGGGAGCGUAGAUGGAUGUUUAAGUCAGUUGUGAAAAGUUUGCGGCUCAACCGUAAAAAUUGCAGUUGAUACUGGAUAUCUUGAGUGCAGUUGAGGGCAGGCGGAAUUCGUGGUGUAGCGGUGAAAUGCUUAGAUAUCACGAAGAACUCCGAUUGCGAAGGCAGCCUGCUAAGCUGCAACUGACAUUGAGGCCCGAAAGUGUGGGUAUCAAACAGGAUUAGAUACCCUGGUAGUCCACACGGUAAACGAUGAAUACUCGCUGUUUGCGAUAUACAGCAAGCGGCCAAGCGAAAGCGUUAAGUAUUCCACCUGGGGAGUACGCCGGCAACGGUGAAACUCAAAGGAAUUGACGGGGGCCCGCACAAGCGGAGGAACAUGUGGUUUAAUUCGAUGAUACGCGAGGAACCUUACCCGGGCUUAAAUUGCAGAUGAAUUACGGUGAAAGCCGUAAGCCGCAAGGCAUCUGUGAAGGUGCUGCAUGGUUGUCGUCAGCUCGUGCCGUGAGGUGUCGGCUUAAGUGCCAUAACGAGCGCAACCCUUGUUGUCAGUUACUAACAGGUUCCGCUGAGGACUCUGACAAGACUGCCAUCGUAAGAUGUGAGGAAGGUGGGGAUGACGUCAAAUCAGCACGGCCCUUACGUCCGGGGCUACACACGUGUUACAAUGGGGGGUACAGAGGGCCGCUACCACGCGAGUGGAUGCCAAUCCCAAAAACCUCUCUCAGUUCGGACUGGAGUCUGCAACCCGACUCCACGAAGCUGGAUUCGCUAGUAAUCGCGCAUCAGCCACGGCGCGGUGAAUACGUUCCCGGGCCUUGUACACACCGCCCGUCAAGCCAUGGGAGCCGGGGGUACCUGAAGUGCGUAACCGCGAGGAGCGCCCUAGGGUAAAACUGGUGACUGGGGCUAAGUCGU